CUUUGUGAUUCAUGACUGGGGUGAAGUCGUAACAAGGUAACCGUAGGGGAACCUGCGGUUGGAUCACCUCCUUACCU
rnacentral:rRNA from 1 species